AUUGAACGCUGGCGGCAUGCCUUACACAUGCAAGUCGAACGGUAACAGGGAGCUUGCUCCGCUGACGAGUGGCGAACGGGUGAGUAAUGUAUCGGAACGUACCUUUCAGUGGGGGAUAACGUAGCGAAAGUUACGCUAAUACCGCAUAUUCUGUGAGCAGGAAAGCAGGGGAUCGCAAGACCUUGCGCUGAUUGAGCGGCCGAUAUCAGAUUAGCUAGUUGGUGAGGUAAAGGCUCACCAAGGCGACGAUCUGUAGCGGGUCUGAGAGGAUGAUCCGCCACACUGGAACUGAGACACGGUCCAGACUCCUACGGGAGGCAGCAGUGGGGAAUUUUGGACAAUGGGGGCAACCCUGAUCCAGCCAUGCCGCGUGAGUGAAGAAGGCCUUCGGGUUGUAAAGCUCUUUCGGCCGGGAAGAAAUCGCAUGGGUUAAUACCCUGUGCGGAUGACGGUACCGGCAUAAGAAGCACCGGCUAACUACGUG
rnacentral:rRNA from 1 species